UAAUUGCCUAUGUUUCCCUGUCCCUAUAUAGUGACCAAGUCUACACAGUUUAGGUUGGCUUGCUGCCAUCUAUCCGGGAGCUGCGACCCGCCUUGGGACCUCCCCCUCCCCUCCCCAUAUGUGAGGGACGGGGCGGGUUACUCACUGCGGGUCGACGUCACGCUUACACGGGUAGCGUGCGGCGUCACGUGGUGACGCCGUAUCGCUCCCUUGUUUGUCCAUCUGCGUCCAAUUUGAGGGAGGUGGUUGCUAAGCGCCGAGCGCGUCAUGCUGUUUGGACGCUGGUUCCGCCCCUUCCUCUGUGAUGACGCUGCGUGGCCUUGACGGUCACCAUUGGUCCGCGGCCACUACUUAAUCUCCAGCUGCACUGCUCUGACACUUCAGGAUUUUUUCCUCCUCAUUACACGAUUGCACAUAUCUGGAUUAUCCUCUUUACAUACCUUAGUAGGUAGGUUUAUUUCCACUUUUACUUUAUUAUUCUGACAUUCUUACACAUCCACCUGGACACGGUUUUCCUGGCUUGAUAAUUCAUGCCUUCUAUUCAUACACUUUUUCUUUAUUUGUUUCCCACUUUUAUACAUGGGAAUUUUUUCCCUAUACACAAGCUAUCAACUGAAUUUACCUACUCAUCUCCACAGAUACCUCUGGGAAUGAUUUAUACUAUUAGAUAUAUCACAGAUGAUGACUGAUCAACUUACCUCUUACCUACUCUUUGCUGGUGCCGCCAUUGGACCUCUGGGUUUUACUGUCUCAGCUCCCGGAAAAGAUGCCUUUUACAGCCGCCCCCUACCAUGGAUACCAUCCUAUCAUCAUAAUACUAUGCUAUUAAUAGAUAUCCACAUACUGUAUAUCUGCUCCUGACGAGUGGUACAAACCACGAAACGCGUAGAGCUUCCCUACAUUGAUAUGUCACAGUACAGGCCUUAUUUUUAUCUUGCAAAUUAUUUCUAUGGAUCAACUAUCAUCAUUGUUCAUUUAUGUACUACCAAUACAGUUUCGGUUUUUACACGCCUGGUUUAAUGUCAUGUUUUAUCAUUAUGAGAUAUUUUUUACAAUUAUGUAUUGUCUAUAAUAUAUCCAGUGUAACCUACGAUUGCUAUGCAUUACCAUGUAUGCUUUUAACUAUUAGGUACUACCAUGCACUGUUUAGACUUUUACCUUUGUAAACUCAUUACUAUUUUACCUACUUAUCCCUAUUGGCGUUUGUCAUGCCCUUUCUGUAAUGAAUAAAUCUAUUUACUUCAAUUGA